CUCAGACAUGCAAGUCGAACGAUUAAGACUUUCUUCGGAGAGUGUAUAAAGUGGCGCACGGGUGAGUAACACGUAAGUAAUCUGCCUUCGAGUGGGGAAUAACGUUCGGAAACGAACGCUAAUACCGCAUAAUGCAGCGGCACCGCAAGGUGACAGUUGUUAAAGGAGCAAUCCGCUUGAAGAGGAGCUUGCGGCAGAUUAGCUAGUUGGUAAGGUAAUGGCUUACCAAGGCUACGAUCUGUAACCGGUCUUAGAGGACGGUCGGUCACACUGACACUGAAUAACGGGUCAGACUCCUACGGGAGGCAGCAGUCGGGAAUUUUGGGCAAUGGGCGAAAGCCUGACCCAGCAACGCCGCGUGAAGGAUGAAGUAUUUCGGUAUGUAAACUUCGAAAGAAUAGGAAGAAUAAAUGACGGUACUAUUUAUAAGGUCCGGCUAACUACGUGCCAGCAGCCGCGGUAAUACGUAGGGACCAAGCGUUGUUCGGAUUUACUGGGCGUAAAGGGCGCGUAGGCGGCUCUGUAAGUCACUUGUGAAAUCUCUGAGCUUAACUCAGGACGGCCAAGUGAUACUGCAGUGCUAGAGUGUAGAAGGGGCAAUCGGAAUUCUUGGUGUAGCGGUGAAAUGCGUAGAUAUCAAGAGGAACACCUGAGGUGAAGACGGGUUGCUGGUCUAACACUGACGCUGAGGCGCGAAAGCCAGGGGAGCAAACGGGAUUAGAUACCCCGGUAGUCCUGGCCCUAAACGAUGAAUACUUGGUGUCUGGAACUCUAAAGUUCUGGGUGCCGUCGCUAACGUUUUAAGUAUUCCGCCUGGGGAGUACGCUCGCAAGAGUGAAACUCAAAGGAAUUGACGGGGACCCGCACAAGCGGUGGAGCAUGUGGUUUAAUUCGACGCAACGCGAAGAACCUUACCUAGGCUAGAAUGUGAGGGAAGUCUGCGUAACAGCAGGCGUCUGGGAAACCAGACCCAAAACAAGGUGCUGCAUGGCUGUCGUCAGCUCGUGUC
rnacentral:rRNA from 1 species